rnacentral:lncRNA from 10 species
CUCUGAGGCCUCCAUCCAUGUAGAAGGAAGAGGGAAAGAAAGAAUGAAAGUGGAAGAGGAAGGAGACAGGCUCUGGUUCCAACAGUAACACUGGCUCCUCAAACUUCCAACCCAAGGAACGGUUUCUGCCAAGAAAAUGUGCCUUAGGAGAUGAGACUACCAGUGGAGCAGAAUUCCGGCAGUUCUCCAGGGGCUGCCUGUCACGAGGGCACUCAAGCUGCCUGCAGAGAGGCCCAUACGGGGAGCAUCUAAGGUCCCGCCAACAGCUGGCACCAACUUGCCAACCAUCCGGGAAGAAGACCCUCCAGCCCCAGUCAAGCUUGCAAAUGGCUGUGGCUCUGGCUGAUGUCUCAACUGCAACCUCUUGAAAGACUCCAAGCCAGAAUGUUCCUGAAUUUCUGACCCCCCAAGACUGUGAGAUAUAUUAAAUGUGUAUUGUUAUUUUAAAUUUCUACGUUUUGAUUUGUUACAUAGCAA